rnacentral:rRNA from 1 species
AACUAACAUUGGCGGUAGGCCUAACACAUGCAAGUCGAACGGCAGCACGGGAGCAGUCCUGGUGGCGAGUGGCGAACGGGUGAGUAAAGUAUCGGAACGUACCUUUCAGUGGGGGAUAACGUAGCGAAAGUUACGCUAAUACCGCAUAUUCUGUGAGCAGGAAAGCAGGGGAUCGCAAGACCUUGCGCUGAUUGAGCGGCCGAUAUCAGAUUAGCUAGUUGGUGAGGUAAAGGCUCACCAAGGCGACGAUCUGUAGCGGGUCUGAGAGGAUGAUCCGCCACACUGGAACUGAGACACGGUCCAGACUCCUACGGGAGGCAGCAGUGGGGAAUUUUGGACAAUGGGCGCAAGCCUGAUCCAGCCAUGCCGCGUGAGUGAAGAAGGCCUUCGGGUUGUAAAGCUCUUUCGGCCGGGAAGAAAUCGUGUGGGUUAAUACCCUGCAUGGAUGACGGUACCGGAAUAAGAAGCACCGGCUAACUACGUGCCAGCCGCCGCAGUAA